rnacentral:rRNA from 1 species
UUAUAAUUAAAUAUUAAUUAAAUAAAGAUUAAAUGAGAUCAUUAAAUUUAAAUAAUUUGGCGGUAUUUUAGAUAAUUAGAGGAAUUUGUUUAAUAAAUGAUAAUCCACGAGUGGGGGGUCCUGAUAAAAUUUUUAUGUAUUGUUGUAGUAAAAUUAUUUUAAAAAAAAUAUAAUUAAAAUAUUUAAGUUAAUUUUAAUUCAAAUCAAAAUGUAGAAUUAUUAGGUUUAAAUGAAUUACAAUUUAAUAUAAUAAUAAAAUUAUUAUUUUAAUGAUAAUAAUGAAAGAGGAUUUAAAAGUAAAUUUAAAAAAAUAUUUAAAUUGAAAUGUUAAUUAAAAUAUG